rnacentral:rRNA from 1 species
UGGGGAAUAUUGCACAAUGGGCGGAAGCCUGAUGCAGCGACGCCGCGUGGGGGAUGAAGGCCUUCGGGUUGUAAACUCCUUUCGACAGGGACGAAGCUUUUGUGACGGUACCUGUAUAAGAAGCACCGGCUAAUUACGUGCCAGCAGCCGCGGUAAUACUUAGGGUGCGAGCGUUGUCCGGAAUUACUGGGCGUAAAGAGCUCGUAGGUGGUUUGUCGCGUCGUCUGUGAAAUUCCGGGGCUUAACUCCGGGCGUGCAGGCGAUACGGGCUGACUUGAGUGCUGUAGGGGAGACUGGAAUUCCUGGUGUAGCGGUGAAAUGCGCAGAAAUCAGGAGGAACACCGAUGGCGAAGGCAGGUAUCUGAGCAGUAACAGACGCUGAGGAGCGAAAGAAGGGGUAGCGAACAGG